rnacentral:rRNA from 1 species
CGGGGUGCAGCAGGCGCGAAAACUUUACAAUGCUGGCAACAGCGAUAAGGGGACCUUGAGUGCCAGGAUACAAUCCUGGCUGUCGUGAUGCCUAAAAAGCAUUAUAUAGCAAGGGCCGGGCAAGACCGGUGCCAGCCGCCGCGGUAACACCGGCGGCUCGAGUGGUAACCGCUAUUAUUGGGUCUAAAGGGUCUGUAGCCGGCUUGGUUAGUCUCUUGGGAAAUCCGGCAGCUUAACUGUCGGGCUUUCAGGAGAUACUGCCAGGCUCGAGACCGGGAGAGGUGAGAGGUACUUCAUGGGUAGGGGUGAAAUCUUGUAAUCCUUGAAGGACCACCAGUGGCGAAGGCGUCUCACCAGAACGGAUCUGACGGCAAGGGACGAAAGCUAGGGGCACGAACCGGAUUAGAUACCCGGGUAGUCCUAGCCGUAAACGUUACUCGCUAGGUGUCGGCCACGGUGCGACCGUGGUCGGUGCCGUAGGGAAGCCGUGAAGCGAGCCACCUGGGAAGUACGGCCGCAAGGCUGAAACUUAAAGGAAUUGGCGGGGGAGCAC